GAUCAAGUUAGUUUUGGAUUUUCCAUAAACGUCCCAAAUUUUCCCGUCUUCAAAAUCUAUGGACUGAAUUGCAUACUUUUUAAAAUAGCCCUAGCGAUUGACCAGCUAUAGCCCCAACACUCAGGAGACGACAAUUCAACUAGGCGACGUAACUUUGAGAUCAACAAUUUCUUUUGGUUAUAUUUGAUCCCAUGGGAUGGAGAUAACAAAUACGCUUGUUGGUGGAUAAAAAUGAUUAAUCGUUAUAUUUUGUUACCCUUUAAAAAUUGAAAAUAUUAAAGACCACAAUUUGAAAACAAGUUUUCAAAUAUUAAUAGGGUAUCUUGUGGUCGAGCACUUUGAAAGGCUAUCCAAAAAAUUGCAGUUUCUCUAAAUAAAACAUGCCAAUAGCUUGCACAGUUUGAAAUUGACUCCGUAUAAGCAAAAACCUAUUUGAAAUGCGGAUACAAAUUUGGAUUUAUAUAUUCUGUUGUGUUUUACAAAAAGUUGUCAUCGAAAGUUUCUCUAAAUGUUCUGAACUUGAAUUGCACAAAACUUAUUUUGGAAUUAAUUGCAAAUUCAAAUA